rnacentral:rRNA from 1 species
AUUGAACGCUGGCGGCAUGCCUUACACAUGCAAGUCGAACGGUAACAGGUCUUCGUAUGCUGUCUAGUGUCGACCGGGUGCGUAAUACAUCCGAACGUGCCCGCUCGUUGGGGGUAACGCAGCGCAAGCUGUGCUCAUACCGCAUACGAUCUACGGAUUAAAACCGGGGAUCGCAAGACCUCGCGCCGACGGUGCUGCCGCUUGCAGAUUAGUUCGUUGGUCGGAUAAAAGCUUACCAAGCCGACGAUCUGUAGCUGGUCUGAGAGGACGACCAGCCACACUGGGACUGAGGCACGGCCCAGACUCCUACGGGAGGCAGCAGUGGGGAAUUUUGGACAAUGGGCGCAAGCCUGAUCCAGCCAUGCCGCGUGAAGGAUGAAGGCCUUCGGGUUGUAAAAUGCUUUUGUAAGGAACGAAAAAGCGCUCUCGAAUACAGGGGGUGAAUGACGGUACCGUAAGAAUAAGCACCGGCUAACUACGUG